GCAGGGUGGAGGAGACACGGUCAAGGCGCAGAAGAACCUGGGAGGCCUGUGGCUGCUGAGGCUGAGCAGCACCUUCCCCUUUGCUCUCCAGAAAAUGGGCCUGGUCAUCGCAGUCCUGCCUCCAUGGGCGGCAUUUAAGAGGCUCCCUCCAGGUCCUUUACAAGGUGGAGAUGUCACGACCCAGGCUUUUCCGUCAGCCAGGAAAGUCAAGUUCAGGUGUGCAAGAUCACCUGUUCAGGAAAUGACGAACUGCACGUAAGGCUCCUCUCCCAGGGCUCACCCUGUACAGAAAAUGUCUGCAAUUUCUGCAGCGGGAGAAGAAGACAAGCGCUGUGUCACGGACACAUCCAACAAGGCAUCCCACCACGCACAUCCCAACAAGGCAAUUCAGCAAGAUUUCUGGGUCCGAAAAAAAAAAGAUGGACAGAAACCUAAAUGAAAGGACGAUCCACGGCCCUGGAAAGAUGACAGGCAUCGGAGGAGCUUGGCGAGAGGUGGAGUUCACGGCAUCACUUACUGCAGAUGCUCGCAGACAGCGACCGAUAGGUGGCAGCAACCUUCUGAAACUUGCAGAGGAAGAUGAAUUUCUACCUUCACACUCUUACUUCGGAGCCCUGCACAGGGCAUGGAUCAGGUGCUGGGUGAAUGUUCACACAGACUGUGUAUAUUCUUUUCCAAAGCAAGGACGGGACACUGUCCUGGUACUUGCUAAAAUAUUUGUCAUUCCAAUUUUUUUUUCUUCUACUACUUCAUCGCAGAUAUUUCUAAAUUUUAUUUAUUUGUUUGUUUAUUUAUUUUAGGGUCACACCUGCAGCACAUGGAAGUUCCCAGGCUAGGGGUGGAAUCAGAGCUUCACCUGCCAGCCUACACCGCAGCCACAGCAACUCGAGAUCCGAACCACGUCUGCGACCUACACCACAACUCGCUGGAUUCUUAACCCACUGAGCGAGGCCUGGAAUUGAACCCUGAUCCUCAUGGAUCCUAGUUGGGUUCAUUGCUGCUGAGCCAUGACGGGAACUCCUUGAUAUUCUAUAUUAAACGGAUGCUCAGGGUGGAGAGAAGGGUGGUUUCAAUUCUCAGGCUUUUAAACUUCCGGUUCCCGUACUUGAAAAGAACAGGUUUUACCUUGUGUGUGACUGUUGUUUCUAACAUGAGUCAAGCGCUUAUCAUUUCUCAGCAGCUGCCAGAAGGAGGCCAGGGCUAACCGGUCCACUCUUGUCUGCAUCAGUUACGUGCAGAUGUCCUAAGAGAUGAAUCUUCCCUGCACCCUAAAGAUACUGCUUGUGGGGUAAACAGAACAGGAAGCACAUUGUCCCAAUACAGUUGACUUUUUGUUGUUGUUGUCAAGGGUGAAUUUAAAUUUACUAAUAAUAGUUUAUAUUUUAAAACGCUGAACAAAAAUUUUUAAAACAUUACGUUUCAUUAUUAUCACAAUAGUUGUACAUACAAUUGCUGAAUUGUUUAUUCCUUCUUUCAAUUGCAUCUUUGGAUUCCAGGUACCAGAGGUUUAUUGUCGGAUACAUGUUAAUUUUCUUUCUUUCUUUUUUUUUUUUUUUUGUAAAUUAACCAAUACAGUUGACUUUGCCUGACAGAAGUAUGUCACAGAGGUCAUUCAACUUGACGCUUCAGUAAUGUCGCAUCAAAGUAUGUCCUUUAUGAGAAAAAUCACUGAUUUUUCUAUGGAGUUUGUCUUUCCACUUUCAGCGUUGCCAUAUCUGAGGAGCUCUGCAGGCUGCAGGAAGCAGUGGAACAACCCAGAAAAACUGUCCACCUCCUGGGGACACCCAGCAGUGUUUGGGACAUUCAUUUAGGCCUUUCACUGACUUGAGUGAUUUUUCUAACCGGAAAACUAGAGCAAGUGUUUUUCAUCGACAGCCAGGUUCCAGGAAAACCUCUCCAUAGCCUCAUGGUGGUGUAUCAGCAGCUCUGCAAGGUCAUUUACCCCGCAACACUCACGGUCAGGCUCCAAAUUUGAGUUAAGGCGGUGGUGGACACGUGACCUUAGCUGACAUGCACCGUUCUCUAAAUGAUUUGCAAGAAUAUUUCUUCUAAAUAUUUUAUAUUUGCUUUUGAAUAGCUAAUUCGCAUGCAGCGUUUAAACAAUUAAAAAUACAUUAAAAGGAAUGUAGUAAAAAGAUGCCUCCAAAUGCCUGCUCCCCAUCGACAGGUUAUCAUUGCCAAGGAUUGUUUUCUUUAAUUAGAGUAGAGUUGAUGAGCUGUGUUGGCGUGGAUGUUUGAUGUCUCCCUCCAAAGUAGGAAUGCGGACAAAGAAAGGCAAGCAGGUGGCCUUACUUUCUCCACUGUUAGCACCAAAAGGGAAGCUCUUAUUUACAUUGUUCCUCAUCUCGCUACUUCAAAUAAUGCCAUAGCUUGGGCAUCCUUCCAUGUCAAUGCAUAGAAAGUUCCCUUAUUUGCAAAUGCCGCCCCACUUCUCCACAUGAGGGCUCAGGGAGAAGAUGGGGUCUAUGAACCAGAAAGUGGGUCCUCACCAGCCACCACCAAGUCUACUUGCUGGUACCUUGAUCUUGGAUUUCCAGCCUCUCCAGACCUGUGAGAAAUAAAUGUCUGUUGAUAAGCCA
rnacentral:lncRNA from 1 species